rnacentral:piRNA from 1 species
UGUCACCAGACUAGGUAUGCAAGGUGAUU